AAUUAUUAAGUAUAUUAAUAGUACAUCUAACUUCCAAUUAGAAAGUCCCAAGAGGAAUAAUUA
rnacentral:tRNA from 1 species